UUAAAUUGAAGAGUUUGAUCAUGGCUCAGAUUGAACGCUGGCGGCAGGCCUAACACAUGCAAGUCGAACGGUAACAGGAAGCAGCUUGCUGCUUCGCUGACGAGUGGCGGACGGGUGAGUAAUGUCUGGGAAACUGCCUGAUGGAGGGGGAUAACUACUGGAAACGGUAGCUAAUACCGCAUAACGUCGCAAGACCAAAGAGGGGGACCUUCGGGCCUCUUGCCAUCGGAUGUGCCCAGAUGGGAUUAGCUUGUUGGUGGGGUAACGGCUCACCAAGGCGACGAUCCCUAGCUGGU
rnacentral:rRNA from 1 species